GACGAACGCUGGCGGCGUGCCUAAUACAUGCAAGUCGAACGCUGAAGGAGGAGCUUGCUUCUCUGGAUGAGUUGCGAACGGGUGAGUAACGCGUAGGUAACCUGCCUGGUAGCGGGGGAUAACUAUUGGAAACGAUAGCUAAUACCGCAUAAGAGUAGAUGUUGCAUGACAUUUGCUUAAAAGGUGCAAUUGCAUCACUACCAGAUGGACCUGCGUUGUAUUAGCUAGUUGGUGGGGUAACGGCUUACCAAGGCGACGAUACAUAGCCGACCUGAGAGGGGGAUCGGCCAACCUGGGACUGAGACACGGCCCAGACUCCUACGGGAGGCAGCAGUAGGGAAUCUUCGGCAAUGGACGGAAGUCUGACCGAGCAACGCCGCGGGAGUGAAGAAGGUUUUCGGAUCGUAAAGCUCUGUUGUAAGAGAAGAACGAGUGUGAGAGUGGAAAGUUCACACUGUGACGGUAGCUGACCAGAAAGGGACGGCUAACUACGUG
rnacentral:rRNA from 1 species